rnacentral:tRNA from 1 species
GCCCCCAUAGCUCAGGUGGAUAGAGCGGUGGUUUCCUAAACCAUGUGGCCAGGUUCGAAUCCUGGUGGGGGCA